rnacentral:lncRNA from 1 species
UUUAAAGAGAUCGCAUCAAAUCUAGAGGCACAAAUGAACAAUGAGAAAAUAUAGAGUUAACAAAGGAUAUCACGUUUAAAGGAAAACGUUGGCUUAGUAACCGUCCUGACUGAGGCUCUUUACCAACAGUUGGACAUAAAUAUGUACAACAGAAUCAUUUGCAAGACUUUACAUGAGGAACAAAUGCAUGAAGGGAUUGGAAGGCAAUUUCUUCAAAGGACUACUCUACAUUCAGCACAACACCCAAAUAAUCAUUCAACGAUAUAUUAACAGUCUGUAAAGGAUCAUAGUAAUAUAAUGAAUAAAGAAAUAUAGAAUAAUC